rnacentral:rRNA from 1 species
AUUGAACGCUGGCGGCAUGCCUUACACAUGCAAGUCGAACGGCAGCGCGGGGCAACCUGGCGGCGAGUGGCGAACGGGUGAGUAAUAUAUCGGAACGUGCCCUGGAGUGGGGGAUAACGUAGCGAAAGUUACGCUAAUACCGCAUACGAUCCAAGGAUGAAAGCAGGGGACCUUCGGGCCUUGUGCUCCUGGAGCGGCCGAUAUCUGAUUAGCUAGUUGGUGGGGUAAAAGCCUACCAAGGCUGUGAUGGCUAGCUGGUCUGAGAGGAUGACCAGCCACACUGGGACUGAGACACGGCCCAGACUCCUACGGGAGCAGCAGUGGGGAAUAUUGCGCAAUGGGCGAAAGCCUGACGCAGCGACGCCGCGUGGGUGAUGAAGGCCU